CCCUUAGAUGUCCUGGGCCGCACGCGCGCUACACUGACAUGUUCAACAAGCCUCCUAGUUCGACAGGAUUUGGGAAAUCUUUGAACGCAUGUCGUGAUAGGGAUAGAUCAUUGCAAUUAUUGAUCUUGAACGAGGAAUUCCUAGUAAACGCGAGUCAUCAGCUCGCAUUGAUUACGUCCCUGCCCUUUGUACACACCGCCCGUCGCUCCUACCGAUUGAAUGAUCCGAUGAAUAUCAUGGAUUGAGGAUGCAAGUAGGUUCGCCUAUCUUCAUCUUCGAGAAGUGAAGUAAAUCUUAUCAUUUAGAGGAAGGAGAAGUCGUAACA
rnacentral:rRNA from 1 species